rnacentral:ribozyme from 1 species
AGUGAAAGAAAGAAGAACAAAGCACACAACCAACAAUGAAGUGAUGAACGAAAAGAAGAAAUGAAGAGGAACCACGCACUCACUUCACUCACUUGUGUUCUCUCUUCAUUAUCUUCUUUCGUUCAUUCUUCAUUCAGUUUAUCUGGUGUAAUGGUGUGGUGAAUUGAAUGAAAUGAAGAGAAGUGAAAGGAAGGA